rnacentral:rRNA from 1 species
GAUGAACGCUGGCGGCGUGCCUAAUACAUGCAAGUCGAGCGAACGGACGAGAAGCUUGCUUCUCUGAUGUUAGCGGCGGACGGGUGAGUAACACGUGGAUAACCUACCUAUAAGACUGGGAUAACUUCGGGAAACCGGAGCUAAUACCGGAUAAUAUUUUGAACCGCAUGGUUCAAAAGUGAAAGACGGUCUUGCUGUCACUUAUAGAUGGAUCCGCGCUGCAUCAGCUAGUUGGUAAGGUAACGGCUUACCAAGGCAACGAUGCAUAGCCGACCUGAGAGGGUGAUCGGCCACACGGGAACUGAGACACGGUCCAGACUCCUGCGGGAGGCAGCAGUAGGGAAUCUUCCGCAAUGGGCGAAAGCCUGACGGAGCAACGCCGCGUGAGUGAUGAAGGUGUUCGGAUCGUAAAGCUCUGUUAUUAGGGAAGAACAUAUGUGUAAGUAACUGUGCACAUCUUGACGGUACCUGAUCAGAAAGCCACGGCUAACUACGUG